rnacentral:rRNA from 1 species
GACGAACGCUGGCGGCGUGCUUAAAACAUGCAAGUCGAACGGACUUCUCGUGAAGCUUGCGAUUGAGAAGUUAGUGGCGGACGGGUGAGUAACGCGUGGGCAACCUGCCCCUGAGCCCGGGAUAACAGUUCGAAAGGACUGCUAAGACCGGAUAUACUUGCGGUGAAGCAUUUCACUGCAAGGAAAGGGAACGCUCAGGGAUGGGCCCGCGUCCCAUUAGCUAGUUGGUGAGGUAACGGCCCACCAAGGCGACGAUGGGUAGCCGGCCUGAGAGGGUGAACGGCCACACUGGGACUGAGACACGGCCCAGACUCCUACGGGAGGCAGCAGUUGGGAAUCUUCGGCAAUGGGCGCAAGCCUGACCGAGCAACGCCGCGUGAGUGAUGAAGGUUUUCGGAUUGUAAAGCUCUGUCUUCCGGGACGAUAAUGACGGUACCGGAGGAGGAAGCCACGGCUAACUACGUG